GUGGAAACCUCAGACAGGUGAAGCCCACAGCUACUCAGCUGGGAAGUAGAGGAGCCAGGUUUGAAACCUACAAAGCUGUGCUCUUGAUCGCUGGACUCUCUCACUUCCUGAAGUCUGCUUGGGCAGUGCCCUCCAUCGUUCCUGGACAUGUAAUUCCCAAGGUGCUGAUGAAGUCAACACGGAGUGGAGAGGAGCUGGUACUGGAGCAGGGGACCGUAUGAGGAGCUGAGCCUUCGUGGACCAGAGAUAAAGAAAGGAGAAGUGAGUGCCUGGUCCAUACUGAUUGUUCAGGACCUGUAGAGACUGCUCUUGUGGAGGUGAGGUGAGAGGUCAUCUGAGCGAAGUGGGUUUUGGAAAGAAGAAAGAACAAAGAACCUGGCAUCAGGGGACCUGUCCUCUGGAUGGAGCUCCACCAGGGCUCAUUGCGACCUUGAACAAGAUGCUCCCCUCUUCCUGGGCUCAGUUUCUGCAUUUGCAAGUUGCAUGUAUUGUCCCUCC